GACGGAUGGGGCUAGCGUUAUUCGGAAUUACUGGGCGUAAAGGGCGCGUAGGCGGUCAAAUAAGUUAGGCGUGAAAGCCCUGGGCUUAACCUAGGAACUGCGCUUAAUACUGUUUGGCUAGAGUUUGGUAGAGGAAAGCGGAGUUCCUAGUGUAGAGGUGAAAUUCGUAGAUAUUAGGAAGAACACCAGAGGCGAAGGCGGCUUUCUGGACCAAUACUGACGCUGAGGCGCGAAAGCGUGGGGAGCAAACAGG
rnacentral:rRNA from 1 species